UUAAUUGAAGAGUUUGAUCAUGGCUCAGAUUGAACGCUGGCGGCAGGCCUAACACAUGCAAGUCGAGCGGCAGCACAGAGGAACUUGUUCCUUGGGUGGCGAGCGGCGGACGGGUGAGUAAUGCCUGGGAAAUUGCCCGGUAGAGGGGGGAUAACCAUUGGAAACGAUGGCUAAUACCGCAUAACCUCGCAAGAGCAAAGCAGGGGAC
rnacentral:rRNA from 1 species